AGUGAACGCUGGCGGUAGGCCUAACACAUGCAAGUCGAACGGCAGCACAGUAAGAGCUUGCUCUUACGGGUGGCGAGUGGCGGACGGGUGAGGAAUACAUCGGAAUCUACUUUUUCGUGGGGGAUAACGUAGGGAAACUUACGCUAAUACCGCAUACGACCUACGGGUGAAAGCAGGGGAUCUUCGGACCUUGCGCGAUUGAAUGAGCCGAUGUCGGAUUAGCUAGUUGGCGGGGUAAAGGCCCACCAAGGCGACGAUCCGUAGCUGGUCUGAGAGGAUGAUCAGCCACACUGGAACGGAGACACGGUCCAGACUCCUACGGGAGGCAGCAGUGGGGAAUAUUGGACAAUGGGCGCAAGCCUGAUCCAGCCAUACCGCGUGGGUGAAGAAGGCCUUCGGGUUGUAAAGCCCUUUUGUUGGGAAAGAAAAGCAGCAGGUUAAUACCCCGCUGUUCUGACGGUACCCAAAGGAUAAGCACCGGCUAACUUCGUG
rnacentral:rRNA from 1 species